CAGCCGCCGCGGGAAUACGUAGGGUGCAAGCGUUAAUCGGAAUUACUGGGCGUAAAGCGUGCGCAGGCGGUUUGUUAAGACAGAUGUGAAAUCCCCGGGCUCAACCUGGGAACUGCAUUUGUGACUGGCAGGCUAGAGUAUGGCAGAGGGGGGUGGAAUUCCGCGUGUAGCAGUGAAAUGCGUAGAUAUGCGGAGGAACACCGAUGGCGAAGACAGCCCCCUGGGCCAAUACUGACGCUCAUGCACGAAAGCGUGGGGAGCAAACAGGAUUAGAUACCCGGGUAGUCCCUGUCUCUUAUAC
rnacentral:rRNA from 1 species